UACGUAGGGGGCGAGCGUUGUCCGAAUUCACUGGGCGUAAAGCGCGCGUAGGCGGACUUUUAAGUUGGGGGUGAAAUCCCGAGGCUCAACCUCGGAACUGCCUCCAAAACAGGGAGUCUUGAGGUAUGGAGAGGGAAGUGGAAUUCCAGGUGUAGCGGUGAUAUGCGUAGAUAUCUGGAGGAACACCCGUGCGAAGGCGGCUUCCUGGUCAUAUCCUGACGCUGAGGUGCGAAAGCUAGGGGAGCGAACGGG
rnacentral:rRNA from 1 species